GGAUAGUUUGCUAUCGAUAAAGGAAAAAAAAUAAAGGGGGGGAGGGGCAAAGGGGGGCGAACAGACACUCCUGGACUUUCGACCGGUCGCCUCCCUAGCUCUCCCCCCCACCCCCCAAGUCCUGUAAGAAGUUUGGCUAAGAAGGGAGAGAUUGAGCUGGCCAGUUCCCCAACCCUUACACGGAGUCCCUGCUCCUGCUGCCCUUCUUAGAACCAGGGCCUCCAGGGAUCUUUCCGAUCCAGCUUGUUUCCCGUGCCAACUCCACCUGGACGCCUUGAAAACCCAGCGUCAGACAAGAAAACUCCACUGGCACAAUUGAGGCGGGGGUGAAGAAGGACUUGAACCCUCAGAGGCUAGAGAGAUGUAAGGGAAUACGACCAUGCUGGGGACCAUAAGGAACAGAACUAAAGAAGUGGGGAGCCACUAGGAGCACGGAGGCCCUCCCCGACUGACGCAUUGCGGUUGCCUCCUGGUCUAAGGAAUCCAGGCACCAACUGACCUCUUCAAACCCCAAGUUUACCAAUGCCACCUUAGGAAUCACUUCUUCUCUUUUCUCUCCUUUUUCUUGCCCUCUGCUUUUCUUCUUUCUUUCUUAAUUCCAUUUACUCCCCCCCUCCCACCCCUUCUUCUCCACCUCUUCUAUCCGUGGAACCAUAAUGAAAUCAAAUAAAAGAAAUUAGGGCCGAAAGAGAGCUUGCUCAGGAAGGCGGUUAAUAAAGGGAAGCUGGUUUGAGGCACUUGAUUUCCCCGUCUAAUUGCCUUCAUUGGCUUUCCCUACUUUGAUGUGGAACAGGAUUUGGCGCUAAUAAAAUAAGGACUUUCGGUCUGGGUCUGCAAUAAACUCAUCUCCACACAAAAUCAA